rnacentral:rRNA from 1 species
CCUACGGGGGGCAGCAGUAGGGAAUAUUGCUCAAUGGGGGAAACCCUGAAGCAGCAACGCCGCGCGGAGGAUGAAGGUUUUCGGAUUGUAAACUCCUUUUGUUAGAGAAGAUAAUGACGGUAUCUAACGAAUAAGCACCGGCUAACUCCGUGCCAGCAGCCGCGGGAAUACGGAGGGUGCAAGCGUUACUCGGAAUCACUGGGCGUAAAGAGCGCGUAGGCGGGAUAGCAAGUCAGAUGUGAAAUCCUAUGGCUUAACCAUAGAACUGCAUUUGAAACUGUUAUUCUAGAGUAUGGGAGAGGUAGGUGGAAUUCUUGGUGUAGGGGUAAAAUCCGUAGAGAUCAAGAGGAAUACUCAUUGCGAAGGCGACCUGCUAGAACAUAACUGACGCUGAUGCGCGAAAGCGUGGGGAGCAAACAGGAUUAGAUACCCGUGUAGUC